UCAAGAGGAAUAGGAGGGGGAAAAUAGUGGCCUGCAAGUUCAGCGGCUGCCGAACUGCCACCGAGGGCUCCCACAGCUUCGAAGGGGGCUCGAGGGAGAAUUCCUUCAACAACAGGGAUUUAAUAACGGAACUAGCUGGUGAGCGCGUCCUACCCGAGAAUGUCGAAGUAGUUGAAUGGGGCGACACCGGUCAAGGAGGUAGAGUUGCCGUCACAAGCUGUGGCAGGUUCUUUGAUGUUGUUGGGGUCGAGGGACCAGAGGUGGUCGGCGCUGACGGUGGGAUAGUAGAACUUGUUGCGGGGG
rnacentral:lncRNA from 1 species